rnacentral:rRNA from 1 species
GACGAACGCUGGCGGCGUGCUUAACACAUGCAAGUCGAACGGAAAGGCCCUGCUCUUGUGGGGCGCUCGAGUGGCGAACGGGUGAGUAACACGUGAGUAACCUGCCCUUGACUUUGGGAUAACUUCAGGAAACUGGGGCUAAUACCGGAUAGGAGCUCCUGCUGCAUGGUGGGGGUUGGUAAGUUACGGCGGUUGGGGAUGGACUCGCGGCUUAUCAGCUUGUUGGUGGGGUAGUGGCUGACAAAGGCUUUGACGGGUAGCCGGCCUGGGAGGGUGGCCGGCGUCAUGACUCCUGCGGGACGCCCCAGUAGCCAACGGUAGGCAGCAGUCGGGAGUAUGACACAAUGACGCCAAGCCUGAGGCAACGACGCCGCGUGCGGAAUAACGGCCUUCGGGUUGUAAACCGAUGUCGCCUGAGACGAGGAGUGAGUGACGGUAAUUAGUAAAGAAGCACCGGCUAACUACGUG